GUAAAAGUCGUAACAAGGUCUCCGUUGGUGAACCAGCGGAGGGAUCAUUACUGAGUUUACGCUCUACAACCCUUUGUGAACAUACCUACAACUGUUGCUUCGGCGGGUAGGGUCUCCGCGACCCUCCCGGCCUCCCGCCUCCGGGCGGGUCGGCGCCCGCCGGAGGAUAACCAAACUCUGAUUUAACGACGUUUCUUCUGAGUGGUACAAGCAAAUAAUCAAAACUUUUAACAACGGAUCUCUUGGUUCUGGCAUCGAUGAAGAACGCAGCGAAAUGCGAUAAGUAAUGUGAAUUGCAGAAUUCAGUGAAUCAUCGAAUCUUUGAACGCACAUUGCGCCCGCCAGCAUUCUGGCGGGCAUGCCUGUUCGAGCGUCAUUUCAACCCUCAAGCUCUGCUUGGUGUUGGGGCCCUACAGCCGAUGUAGGCCCUCAAAGGUAGUGGCGGACCCUCCCGGAGCCUCCUUUGCGUAGUAACUUUACGUCUCGCACUGGGAUCCGGAGGGACUCUUGCCGUAAAACCCCCCAAUUUUCCAAAGGUUGACCUCGGAUCAGGUAGGAAUACCCGCUGAACUUAAGCA
rnacentral:rRNA from 1 species